rnacentral:rRNA from 1 species
AGAGUUUGAUCAUGGCUCAGAUUGAACGCUGGCGGCAGGCCUAACACAUGCAAGUCGAACGGUAACAGGAAACAGCUUGCUGUUUCGCUGACGAGUGGCGGACGGGUGAGUAAUGUCUGGGAAACUGCCUGAUGGAGGGGGAUAACUACUGGAAACGGUAGCUAAUACCGCAUAAUGUCGCAAGACCAAAGAGGGGGACCUUCGGGCCUCUUGCCAUCGGAUGUGCCCAGAUGGGAUUAGCUAGUAGGUGGGGUAACGGCUCACCUAGGCGACGAUCCCUAGCUGGUCUGAGAGGAUGACCAGCCACACUGGAACUGAGACACGGUCCAGACUCCUACGGGAGGCAGCAGUGGGGGAAUAUUGCACAAUGGGCGCAAGCCUGAUGCAGCCAUGCCGCGUGUAUGAAGAAGGCCUUCGGGUUGUAAAGUACUUUCAGCGGGGAGGAAGGGAGUAAAGUUAAUACCUUUGCUCAUUGACGUUACCCGCAGAAGAAGCACCGGCUAACUCCGUGCCAGCAGCCGCGGUAAUACGGAGGGUGCAAGCGUUAAUCGGAAUUACUGGGCGUAAAGCGCACGCAGGCGGUUUGUUAAGUCAGAUGUGAAAUCCCCGGGCUCAACCUGGGGAACUGCAUCUGAUACUGGCAAGCUUGAGUCUCGUAGAGGGGGGUAGAAUUCCAGGUGUAGCGGUGAAAUGCGUAGAGAUCUGGAGGAAUACCGGUGGCGAAGGCGGCCCCCUGGACGAAGACUGACGCUCAGGUGCGAAAGCGUGGGGAGCAAACAGGAUUAGAUACCCUGGUAGUCCACGCCGUAAACGAUGUCGACUUGGAGGUUGUGCCCUUGAGGCGUGGCUUCCGGAGCUAACGCGUUAAGUCGACCGCCUGGGGAGUACGGCCGCAAGGUUAAAACUCAAAUGAAUUGACGGGGGCCCGCACAAGCGGUGGAGCAUGUGGUUUAAUUCGAUGCAACGCGAAGAACCUUACCUGGUCUUGACAUCCACAGAACUUUCCAGAGAUGGAUUGGUGCCUUCGGGAACUGUGAGACAGGUGCUGCAUGGCUGUCGUCAGCUCGUGUUGUGAAAUGUUGGGUUAAGUCCCGCAACGAGCGCAACCCUUAUCCUUUGUUGCCAGCGGUCCGGCCGGGAACUCAAAGGAGACUGCCAGUGAUAAACUGGAGGAAGGUGGGGAUGACGUCAAGUCAUCAUGGCCCUUACGACCAGGGCUACACACGUGCUACAAUGGCGCAUACAAAGAGAAGCGACCUCGCGAGAGCAAGCGGACCUCAUAAAGUGCGUCGUAGUCCGGAUUGGAGUCUGCAACUCGACUCCAUGAAGUCGGAAUCGCUAGUAAUCGUGGAUCAGAAUGCCACGGUGAAUACGUUCCCGGGCCUUGUACACACCGCCCGUCACACCAUGGGAGUGGGUUGCAAAAGAAGUAGGUAGCUUAACCUUCGGGAGGGCGCUUACCACUUUGUGAUUCAUGACUGGGGUGAAGUCGUAACAAGGUAACCGUAGGGGAACCUGCGGUUGGAUCACCU